GGGCGGCGGAGAGCCGGGAGCCCGGGACCCGGACCCGGGGAGCGGGGACAGGCUGGAGCGCGGACACCGGGAGAACAGCUGGAGUGCGGAGCCCGGACACCGGGGCGCAGACUGACCGGGGAGCGGCAGCUGGAGCCCGGACACCGGGGAGAGGCUGGAGCCCGGACACCGGGGAGCGGACUGACCGGGGAGCGGACUGACCGGGGAGCGGCAGCUGGAGCCCGGACACCGGGGAGAGGCUGGAGCCCGGACACCGGGGAGAGGCUGGAGCCCGGACACCGGGGAGAGGCUGGAGCCCGGACACCGGGGAGCGGAGCGGACUGACCGGGGAGCGGCAGAGGGAAGCGGCUCCGGGCUGGAGGACUGGAGGAGAGAUGGAGACCCGGUCCUGGAGCGGAGUGGAGCCGAACAGGCGGCCUGCAGCGCCCUCUGGCGGAAGCAACACAGACUGCAGGGAACUGCAGCGUCUGGAUCCUGAAGCAGGAGACACUGGUCACGUGGACACUGUCUCUGUUCCAGCGUCUUUCCAGAAGACAGGAGCCGGUCCAGGAGACAGGAUCCAGUCCAGCAGACAGGAGCCGGUCCAGGAGACUGGAUCCGGUCUAGGAGAAUGGAUCCGGUCCAGCAGAAAGGAUCCGGUCCAGCAGAAAGGAUCCGGUCCAGGAGACUGCAGCCGGUCCAGGAGACAGGAGGACAGGACGGGUUCUACAGUUCACCACGGUGGUACGGCCCGUUUCGGUCAGAACCUCUGGUUCCUCCUGGCUUCAGUCCCAGUUUGUGGCUCAAUGAGUGACCAGAAGUGAAAACACAGUUUAACAAACUUUGUUAAUCGAGCCGCUGACAGCAACUGCU